rnacentral:rRNA from 1 species
GAUGAACGCUGGCGGCGUGCCUAAUACAUGCAAGUCGAGCGAACAGACGAGGAGCUUGCUCCUCUGACGUUAGCGGCGGACGGGUGAGUAACACGUGGAUAACCUACCUAUAAUACUGGGAUAACUUCGGGAAACCGGAGCUAAUACCGGAUAAUAUAUUGAACCGCAUGGUUCAAUAGUGAAAGACGGUUUUGCUGUCACUUAUAGAUGGAUCCGCGCCGCAUUAGCUAGUUGGUAAGGUAACGGCUUACCAAGGCAACGAUGCGUAGCCGACCUGAGAGGGUGAUCGGCCACACUGGAACGGAGACACGGUCCAGACUCCUACGGGAGGCAGCAGUAGGGAAUCUUCCGCAAUGGGCGAAAGCUUGACGGAGCAACGCCGCGUGAGUGAUGAAGGUCUUCGGAUCGUAAAACUCUGUUAUUAGGGAAGAACAAAUGUGUAAGUAACUAUGCACGUCUUGACGGUACCUAAUCAGAAAGCAACGGCUAACUACGUG